GAUGAACGCUGGCGGCGUGCCCAAUACAUGCAAGUCGAGCGAAUGGAUUAAGAGCUUGCUCUUAUGAAGUUAGCGGCGGACGGGUGAGUAACACGUGAGUAACCUGCCCAUAAGACUGGGAUAACUCCGGGAAACCGGGGCUAAUACCGGAUAACAUUUUGAACCGCAUGGUUCGAAAUUGAAAGGCGGCUUCGGCUGUCACUUAUGGAUGGACCCGCGUCGCAUUAGCUAGUUGGUGAGGUAACGGCUCACCAAGGCAACGAUGCGUAGCCGACCUGAGAGGGUGAUCGGCCACACUGGGACUGAGACACGGCCCAGACUCCUACGGGAGGCAGCAGUAGGGAAUCUUCCGCAAUGGACGAAAGUCUGACGGAGCAACGCCGCGUGAGUGAUGAAGGCUUUCGGGUCGUAAAACUCUGUUGUUAGGGAAGAACAAGUGCUAGUUGAGUAAGCUGGCACCUUGACGGUACCUAACCAGAUAGCCACGGCUAACUACGUGCCAGCCGCCGCAGUAA
rnacentral:rRNA from 1 species